CGGGUGAGUAACACGUGGAUAACCUACCUAUAAGACUGGGAUAACUUCGGGAAACCGGAGCUAAUACCGGAUAAUAUUUUGAACCGCAUGGUUCAAAAGUGAAAGACGGUCUUGCUGUCACUUAUAGAUGGAUCCGCGCUGCAUUAGCUAGUUGGUAAGGUAACGGCUUACCAAGGCAACGAUGCAUAGCCUACCUGAGAGGGUGAUCGGCCACACUGUAACUGAGACACGGUCCAG
rnacentral:rRNA from 1 species